rnacentral:rRNA from 1 species
AACCAAGAAAUUUAGUCAUUCUUUUAUGGUAAAAAGACAGUUAGGCCAUUAGAUCCUUAGUAAAGGAGUAAAAUCUAAAUACUAAAAGUUACACCAAAAAUGAGAUGUUGAGUCUGUGACAGCUUUAAGGGAAACUGGGAUUGGAUACCCCAUUAUUUUUAGUUAUAAAUUUAGUAAGCUUACCGGAGUACUACGAAUAAAAAGUUUAAAACUCAAAGAGCUUGGCGGUGUUUUAGACCUCUCAGGGGAACCUGUCUCGUAAUCGACAAUCCACGUUAAACCUAACCUUUUAUAGUAAUACAGCCUGUAUACCGUCGUCGUCAGGUAACUUCUAAAAAUAUAGUAGUUAGCUUGAGAACUUAAUUAGUUAAAACGUCAGAUCAAGGUGCAGCUAAUGAAGAGGUGAGGAUGGGUUACAAUUACAUAUUUGUAAAUACGGAAAACACUUUAAAUGAAGUGUUUAGAAGGAGGACUUGAAAGUAAUUUUGAUUAUAUAAACAUAAUGAAUAAGGCUCUGAAACGUG